rnacentral:rRNA from 1 species
UACAGAGGUCUCAAGCGUUGUUCGGAUUCAUUGGGCGUAAAGGGUGCGUAGGCGGCGCGGUAAGUCGGGUGUGAAAGUCUCGGAGCUUAACUCCGAAACUGCAUUCGAUACUGCCGUGCUUGAGGACUGGAGAGGAGACUGGAAUUUACGGUGGUAGCUGGUGAAAUGCGUAGAUAUCGUAAGGAAGACCAGUGGCGAAGGCGGGUCUCUGGAC